UUACUUAUAUGUAUACUUAAAAAUUAGUUUAAAUUAUCGACAGUAUCAUUUCAUUUUGUAUGUUCAUUGUAAUGUCGAAAUAUAGUGAAGUUGCCAUUAAUCCAAACAGAGUGCACAAUUAAUUAAGUCAGGUAUCCACAUGGAAGGUCGAGUAGAUGUACACGUUGCAAGAAUUUUUAGAAGAAUUCGACAAAUAAUCGCUGAUGCUAAAAAGGUCGUCUAAUCAUUCAAUUAAAUGAAGGGCAACUGGCAUUAUUAUACAAUGAAAAAUAUACUGCUACUAGCAUGGCAAACCAUUUGAGAGUCUCCACGACAGCUAUGGUUAGAAGGCAUAUUAGCAAAUUAUAAUACGCCUUCUACAGCAAUACGUGAUAUUUUUGAUAUCAAUACGACUUUACAUGAACGACUUUUUGAGUCAAUACAAAGGUUAGGAAUUGAUCUUCCUGCGCCUAUUAUAAAUAAUAGUAAUAUGAAUAUUCCUAUUUCGUCUUUUACUGCAUUAUUAGAAUUAAAUGAAGAACAAAAGUUGUAUCUAGAGAAUAUUAGUAAUUCUGAAGGAAAAUCUAAUAUAGAGAAAU